AGUGAAUAGAUACCCGGGUAGUCCCAGCCGUAAACGAUGCGCGUUAGGUGUAUCGGUGACCACGAGUCACCGAGGUGCCGAAAGAGAAAUCGUGAAACGUGCCGCCUGGGAAGUACGGUCGCAAGGCUGAAACUUAAAGGAAUUGGCGGGGGAGCACCACAACAGGUGGAGCCUGCGGUUUAAUCGGACUCAACGCCGGGAAACUCACCAGGUAAGACAGCUGAAUGAUAGUCGGGCUGAAGACUCUACUUGACUAGCUGAGAGGAGGUGCAUGGCCGUCGUCAGUUCGUACUGUGAAGCAUCCUGUUAAGUCAGGCAACGAGCGAGACCCACGCCAACAGUUGCUAGCUCGUCCCCCGGGAUGGAGAGGACACUGUUGGGACCGCCUCUGCUAAAGAGGAGGAAGGAAUGGGCAACGGUAGGUCAGCAUGCCCCGAAUUACCUGGGCUACACGCGGGCUACAAUGGGUGGGACAAUGGGUAUCGACACCGAAAGGUGAAGGCAAUCUCCUAAACCCAUCCUUAGUUCGGAUUGUGGGUUGCAACUC
rnacentral:rRNA from 1 species